rnacentral:rRNA from 1 species
AACGAACGCUGGCGGCAGGCCUAACACAUGCAAGUCGAGCGGACCCUUCGGGGUUAGCGGCGGACGGGUGAGUAACGCGUGGGAAUAUGCCCUUCUCUACGGCAUAGUCCUGGGAAACUGGGGGUAAUACCGUAUACGCCCUUUGGGGGAAAGAUUUAUCGGGGAAGGAUUAGCCCGCGUUGGAUUAGGUAGUUGGUGGGGUAAUGGCCUACCAAGCCGACGAUGCAUAGCUGGGUUGAGAGGAUGAUCAGCCACACUGGGACUGAGACACGGCCCAGACUCCUACGGGAGGCAGCAGUGGGGAAUCUUAGACAAUGGGGGCAACCCUGAUCUAGCCAUGCCGCGUGAGUGAUGAAGGCCUUAGGGUUGUAAAGCUCUUUCAGCUGGGAAGAUAAUGACGGUACCAGCAGAAGAAGCCCCGGCUAACUCCGUG